UAGAGUUUGAUCCUGGCUCAAGAUGAACGCUUGCUACAGGCUUAACACAUGCAAGUCGAGGGGCAGCAUCAUCAAAGCUUGCUUUGAUGGAUGGCGACCGGCGCACGGGUGAGUAACACGUAUCCAACCUGCCGACAACACUGGGAUAGCCUUUCAAAAGAAAGAUUAAUACCGGAUGGCAUAGUUUUCCCGCAUGGGAUAAUUAUUAAAGAAUUUCGGUUGUCGAUGGGGAUGCGUUCCAUUAGGCAGUUGGCGGGGUAACGGCCCACCAAACCAACGAUGGAUAGGGGUUCUGAGAGGAAGGUCCCCCACAUUGGAACUGAGACACGGUCCAAACUCCUACGGGAGGCAGCAGUGAGGAAUAUUGGUCAAUGGACGAGAGUCUGAACCAGCCAAGUAGCGUGAAGGAUGACUGCCCUAUGGGUUGUAAACUUCUUUUAUACGGGAAUAAAGUUAGCCACGUGUGGCUUUUUGUAUGUACCGUAUGAAUAAGGAUCGGCUAACUCCGUGCCAGCAGCCGCGGUAAUACGGAGGAUCCGAGCGUUAUCCGGAUUUAUUGGGUUUAAAGGGAGCGUAGGCGGGUUGUUAAGUCAGUUGUGAAAGUUUGCGGCUCAACCGUAAAAUUGCAGUUGAUACUGGCGACCUUGAGUGCAACAGAGGUAGGCGGAAUUCGUGGUGUAGCGGUGAAAUGCUUAGAUAUCACGAAGAACUCCGAUUGCGAAGGCAGCUUACUGGAUUGUAACUGACGCUGAUGCUCGAAAGUGUGGGUAUCAAACAGGAUUAGAUACCCUGGUAGUCCACACAGUAAACCCCAAUACUCGCUGUUGGCGAUAUCCAGUCAGCGGCCAAGCGAAAGCAUUAAGUAUUCCACCUGGGGAGUACGCCGGCAACGGUGAAACUCAAAGGAAUUGACGGGGGCCCGCACAAGCGGAGGAACAUGUGGUUUAAUUCGAUGAUACGCGAGGAACCUUACCCGGGCUUAAAUUGCAACUGACUGAACCGGAAACGGUUCUUUCUUCGGACAGUUGUGAAGGUGCUGCAUGGUUGUCGUCAGCUCGUGCCGUGAGGUGUCGGCUUAAGUGCCAUAACGAGCGCAACCCUUAUCGAUAGUUACUAGCAGGUCAUGCUGAGGACUCUAUUGAGACUGCCGUCGUAAGAUGUGAGGAAGGUGGGGAUGACGUCAAAUCAGCACGGCCCUUACGUCCGGGGCUACACACGUGUUACAAUGGGGGGUACAGAAGGCAGCUACACGGCGACGUGGUGCUAAUCCCGAAAGCCUCUCUCAGUUCGGAUUGGAGUCUGCAACCCGACUCCAUGAAGCUGGAUUCGCUAGUAAUCGCGCAUCAGCCACGGCGCGGUGAAUACGUUCCCGGGCCUUGCACA
rnacentral:rRNA from 1 species